GAUCCUGUAUUCCCUGGUUCUGAUAAUCUGGAUAGCUUCAUGCAGCAGAUGUGUGACGCCAUUCGUGACGAUUCCAUGGAUGUCGAUACGAACCUUGAUACUGAGCAGGUUAAUAGCGUUGAGCCCGCCAUUCCAUGUUCAGGUAACUUGAAGAACCCAAGCAUGGAUAUUGGGGAAAAAGACUUUUCUGUUCCUUCUGCAGAUGUCGUAAUAGAGAAGCCAGUUGAGGAUGAGGCUUUUCCUGAUGUAGGUUUCGAGGAA